AUCCAGCUGACGUAUUCUAAAAUAGGACGAAACGCGCGUCCUAAAU
rfam:Schistosoma rodhaini strain Burundi genome assembly, scaffold: SROB_scaffold0000798